AGAGUUUGAUCAUGGCUCAGGAUGAACGCUAGCUACAGGCUUAACACAUGCAAGUCGAGGGGCAGCAUGACCUAGCAAUAGGUUGAUGGCGACCGGCGCACGGGUGAGUAACACGUAUCCAACCUACCGGUUAUUCCGGGAUAGCCUUUCGAAAGAAAGAUUAAUACCGGAUAGUAUAAUGAGAAGGCAUCUUCUUGUUAUUAAAGAAUUUCGAUAACCGAUGGGGAUGCGUUCCAUUAGUUGUUGGCGGGGUAACGGCCACCAAGACAUCGAUGGAUAGGGGUUCUGAGAGGAAGGUCCCCCACAUUGGAACCUGAGACACGGUCCAAACUCCUACGGGAGGCCA
rnacentral:rRNA from 1 species